CAUGCAAGUCGAGCGGUAACAUUUCUAGCUUGCUAGAAGAUGACGAGCGGCGGACGGGUGAGUAAUACUUAGGAAUCUACCUAGUAGUGGGGGAUAGCACGGGGAAACUCGUAUUAAUACCGCAUACGACCUACGGGAGAAAGGGGGCAACUUGUUGCUCUCGCUAUUAGAUGAGCCUAAGUCGGAUUAGCUAGAUGGUGGGGUAAAGGCCUACCAUGGCGACGAUCUGUAGCUGGUCUGAGAGGAUGAUCAGCCACACCGGGACUGAGACACGGCCCGGACUCCUACGGGAGGCAGCAGUGGGGAAUAUUGGACAAUGGGGGAAACCCUGAUCCAGCCAUGCCGCGUGUGUGAAGAAGGCCUUUUGGUUGUAAAGCACUUUAAGCAGUGAAGAAGACUCAGUGGUUAAUACCCGCUGACGAUGACAUUAGCUGCAGAAUAAGCACCGGCUAACUCUGUGCCAGCAGCCGCGGUAAUACAGAGGGUGCAAGCGUUAAUCGGAAUUACUGGGCGUAAAGGGAGCGUAGGUGGCUCUAUAAGUCAGAUGUGAAAUCCCCGGGCUCAACCUGGGAACUGCAUCUGAAACUGUAGAGCUAGAAUAGGUGAGAGGAAGGUAGAAUUCCAGGUGUAGCGGUGAAAUGCGUAGAGAUCUGGAGGAAUACCGAUGGCGAAGGCAGCCUUCUGGCAUCAUAUUGACACUGAGGCUCGAAAGCGUGGGUAGCAAACAGGAUUAGAUACCCUGGUAGUCCACGCCGUAAACGAUGUCUACUAGUCGUUGGGUCCCUUGAGGACUUAGUGACGCAGCUAACGCAAUAAGUAGACCGCCUGGGGAGUACGGCGCAAGGUUAAAACUCAAAUGAAUUGACGGGGGCCCGCACAAGCGGUGGAGCAUGUGGUUUAUUCGAUGCAACGCGAGAACCUUACUUGGUCUUGACAUAUCUAGAAUCUG
rnacentral:rRNA from 1 species